rnacentral:lncRNA from 1 species
AAGAAGUGGAUCAAUGGGCUGAAAUUCUGGAUGAAAAAAAGAACCCUGUCCAUGGAAAUCCUAAAAUACAUGUGAAACUACAAUUUUUCCAUGUUACAAAGGACCGCAGUUGGGGUCUGGGUAUAAGGAGUCCUAAGUUUCCUGGAGUUCCGUUUACAUUUUUCUCACAGAGACAAGGGUGUAAGGUUUCCCUUUACCAAGAUGCUCAUAUCCCAGAUAAAUUUAUUCCUAAAAUUCCUCUUGCUGGAGGCAAGCGUUACGAGCCCCACAGAUGCUGGGAAGACAUCUUUGAUGCAAUUACUAAUGCAAAGCACCUGAUCUACAUUACUGGUUGGUCAGUUUAUACUGAAAUUUCCUUGGUAAGGGACUCAAGAAGGCCAAAGCCUGGUGGAGACGUCACCAUUGGUGAAUUGCUUAAAAAGAAAGCAAGUGAAGGUGUUAGGGUUCUUAUGCUUGUUUGGGAUGACAGAACCUCUGUUGGUUUAUUGAAAAAAGAUGGACUGAUGGCCACUCAUGAUGAAGACACUGCAAAGUUCUUCCAGGGUACUGAUGUGCAUUGUGUCUUAUGCCCCCGUAAUCCUGAUGGUGGCGGGAGCAUUAUUCAGGGUGCACAAGUCUCUACCAUGUUCACUCAUCACCAGAAGAUUGUGGUUGUGGACCAUGACAUGCCAAAUGGAGAAUCAGAGAGGAGAAGAAUUGUUAGUUUUGUUGGGGGUCUUGAUCUGUGUGAUGGAAGAUAUGAUACCCCCUUCCAUUCACUUUUCAGGACAUUGGAUACUGCACACCAUGAUGAUUUUCAUCAGCCAAAUUUUACUGGUGCCUCAAUUACAAAAGGUGGUCCAAGGGAACCGUGGCAUGAUAUCCACUCUCGACUGGAAGGGCCUAUUGCUUGGGAUGUUUUGUUUAACUUUGAGCAGAGGUGGAGAAAGCAAGGUGGUAAAGAUUUACUUGUUCAGCUUAGAGAGCUGGAGGAAAUCAUCAUUCCCCCUUCUCCUGUUAUGUUCCCAGAUGACCAUGAGACAUGGAAUGUUCAGUUAUUCAGAUCAAUUGAUGGAGGAGCUGCUUUUGGCUUCCCAGAUACGCCUGAAGAUGCAGCUCGAGCUGGGCUUGUUAGUGGGAAGGAUAACAUCAUUGACCGAAGCAUCCAGGAUGCUUAUAUUCAUGCUAUUCGCCGCGCAAAGAAUUUCAUCUAUAUUGAAAAUCAGUACUUUCUAGGGAGCUCUUUUGCCUGGGAGGCUGAUGGUAUAAAGCCUGAGGACAUUGGCGCUUUGCAUGUAAUUCCAAGGGAGCUUUCACUUAAGAUUGCUAGCAAGAUUGAAGCAGGGGAGAGGUUUACUGUCUAUGUCGUUGUUCCAAUGUGGCCAGAGGGGAUCCCAGAGUCAGGAUCUGUUCAGGCAAUAUUAGACUGGCAGAGGAGGACUAUGAAUAUGAUGUAUGCAGAUGUUAAGCGUGCAUUAGAUGCACAAGGUCUCGAGGAGGAUCCUCGGACCUACUUGACAUUUUUCUGCCUUGGGAAUCGGGAGGUAAAGAAGCCUGGGGAAUAUGAACCCUCAGAGACACCAGAAGCAGAUUCAGACUAUCAAAGAGCUCAGGCAGCCCGACGCUUCAUGAUUUAUGUUCAUGCCAAGAUGAUGAUAGGUAAGUCACACACUUAUAAACUUCAUGUUACUCACUUUUGACAUAUCUUUCUCAUGGUUUUAUAUUCAUGAACAUUGUUCCUGCCACGCAACACCUGCAUUCACAUGUAGCAAGCCCAACUCUCUAUUGAACUUUUGUUCUUGGUUUAAACUUUAGAAUUUUAGCUGACCUUUGUCUUAGUUAUGUUUUGGUUGUUGAUUAUGCAGCGACCGAUACCUGCUUCUUGAUAUUCAGUUUCAUGGUGUUUAUCAUUAUAUCAAACAGCUUCAUAUAUAUUACAUAGUCUGCUAGAAAGAAAUAUACAAACCUUUCUACUAUAGUGCUGUCUCUCACGGGACAAUGGUGGUUCUAUAUUCUACCCAUCUUGGUUACUACAAAGCACAUAAUUGACUCACUCUUGCGUUUCUGCAGUUGACGAUGAAUACAUAAUUAUUGGAUCUGCCAACAUCAACCAGAGAUCAAUGGAUGGUGCCAGAGACUCUGAAAUAGCAAUGGGAGCCUACCAACCAUAUCAUCUGUCUGUCAGGGAACCAGCACGUGGUCAGAUCCAUGGUUUCCGUAUGGCACUAUGGUAUGAGCACCUUGGCAUGCUUGAUGAGGCCUUCCUUCAGCCAGAAAGAAUUGAAUGUAUUUCAAAGGUGAACCAGAUUGCUGACAAAUACUGGGAUCUCUAUUCAAGUGAGACUCUUGAACAUGAUUUACCUGGUCACUUGCUUCGAUAUCCAGUUGGUAUUACCAGCGAAGGAGUUGUCGAUGAGUUGCCAGGAUUUGAAUUCUUCCCUGACACCAAAGCUCGUAUUCUUGGUGCCAAAUCCGACUACCUUCCUCCGAUCCUUACUAAUUAAGUGUGCUUUUUGUCACUUGGUUUGUAAAAACCUUCUACAUUAUCUUUGUUUUUACACUACUAUUUGUGAUAGUAGAUUAAUAAGUCCAUCUGUGUCACUACCUGCAUAGAUGUUUUCUGUUGCUGGAUGUUCAUAGCAGGUUGGUGAUUUGGUAAUGUUGUGUGAUUUGCUGACUGAUGUAACUUAUGAACCAUGUUUAAUUAUUGUAAUGUUAUUUGGUUGUCUUCACUUAUGUUGCCCUAUGGAUAUUGAUGUGCUCUCUAUUUUUAUCUAUACGUUGAACUUCACUUGUUUCUAUGCGUUUGAAUGAAGAAAAUAAACUUAAAUUUUGAAA